UACCAGCUCUCCGAGUGGUGUGGAUGUUUAUUGGGCCUAAAGCAUCCGUAGCUGGCUGGACAAGUCCCCUGUUAAAUCCACCGAUUUAAUCGUUGGUGUGCGGGGGAUACUGUUCGGCUAGGGGACGGGAGAGGCAGACGGUAUUUUCGGGGUAGGGGUGAAAUCCUAUAAUCCCGGGAAGACCACCAGUGGCGAAGGCUGUCUGCUAGAACGCGCCCGACGGUGAGGGAUGAAAGCUGGGGGAGCGAACCGGAUUAGAUACCCGGGUAGUCCCAGCUGUAAACGAUGCAGGCUAGGUGUUUGGACGGCCACGUGCCGUUCUAGUGCCGCAGGGAAGCCGUUAAGCCUGCCGCCUGGGGAGUACGGCCGCAAGGCUAGAAACUUAAAGGAAUUGGGCGGGUGAGCACCACGAAGGGGUGAAGCUUGCGGUUU
rnacentral:rRNA from 1 species